GAUGAACGCUGACAGAAUGCUUAACACAUGCAAGUCAACUGUGGCGGACGGGUGAGUAACGCGUAAAGAACUUGCCUCACAGAUAGGGACAACAUUUGGAAACGAUUGCUAAUACCUGAUACUGUGAGAGAGCUUUGCGUCCCAUUAGCUAGUUGGAGAGGUAACGGCUCCCCAAGGCGAUGAUGGGUAGCCGGCCUGAGAGGGUGAUCGGCCACAAGGGGACUGGGACACGGCCCUUACUCCUACGGGGGACAGCAGUGGAGAAUAUUUGACGAUGGACCAAAGUCUGAGCCAGCAAUUCUGUGUGCACGAUAAAUUUUUCGGAAUGUAAAGUGCUUUGAGUUGGGAAGCGGUACCAACAGAAGAAGUGACGGCUAAAUACGUGCCAGCAGCCGCGGUAAUAC
rnacentral:rRNA from 1 species